rnacentral:rRNA from 1 species
UGAGGAAUAUUGGUCAAUGGGGGCAACCCUGAACCAGCCAAGUCGCGUGAAGGAUGAAGGUCUUAUGGAUUGUAAACUUCUUUUAUACAGGAAUAAAUUGGGGGACGUGUCCCCUUUUGCAUGUACUGUAUGAAUAAGGAUCGGCUAACUUCGUGCCAGCAGCCGCGGUAAUACGGAGGAUCCGAGCGUUAUCCGGAUUUAUUGGGUUUAAAGGGUGCGCAGGCGGGAUGUUAAGUCGGCGGUGAAACUUUGCAGCUCAACUGUAAAAGUGCCUUCGAUACUGGCCUCCUUGAGGGUGGAUGAAGUAGGCGGAAUUUGUGGUGUAGCGGUGAAAUGCUUAGAUAUCACGAGGAACUCCGAUUGCGCAGGCAGCUUACUAAGCCACAACUGACGCUCAUGCGCGAAGGCGUGGGGAUCAAACA